UGCUUGCUCUUCCUGUGGCAGUGAAGGCGAGUGUCCCUGGAAAGGUCACUGAGUCCAGAGCUGCUUUUAAGGAGCUGCGGGUAGCACAGGCCUCCUUCCUUAGCGAAGGUGAGGACACCGGCACAGUGAGGCCGAUUGGUGAGGCAGCCAGGAGCCCAGGGCUUCCAUGACACAGGCCCAACUCUGGACUCGGUAAGAUUGUGGAAUCUGCUAAAAAUGUUCCGGAGUUGUUUUGGAUAUCUACUUGACAUGUUCUUCUCAAUAGCUUGAUUAUCUAUGACAACGUUCAUAUUUCUAACCUCAUUUGAUCUAUUUUUCAG
ensembl:misc_RNA